CUCAAAUGUUCUGCAUUGUCGCCUUUGGAGCUGCUCAGAUAAUCCUGAUCACCGUAAUGGCUUAUGAUCGCUAUGUUGCCAUAAAUAACCCUCUCCGUUACAAAGCUGUGAUGAGUUGGGCGAUCUGUAAGAUGUUCCUUACUAUUACAUUAAUAUUUAGUUGUGCCAUGGCCUUUUUAAUGGUAUUUUCUGUAUUUACUCUCCCGUUUUGUGAUGAAUUAG